rnacentral:lncRNA from 1 species
CUUAACAAUUCGAUUUUUACACAACUGUAAACGAUAGAGUAAAUAUCAUGUAUAAUAAUGAAAGAUAGUCUAACGAAGUAAUUAAUUUUGGGCAAGUUUGUUUUUUUUUUUUUUUUAUCAACAUUGCUUUUUAUAAAAGCUUAACGAUACAAGAGGAUUCGAAAGCCCAGAACAAAUAUUACAAGCCCAAAGCAACAUAAAGAUAACUAUCAUACAUGUCAUAACACACGUGUGAGACACGUGUAAAGAAAGGGCAGCACAAUGGGCAGUGAGAAGGUUCCCGAGUCUUUCAGAUCUUCUCACCGGCGCUCCGAUUGAUUUCCGAUCAUCCCUCCGGUCUUCCAUAUGGAGAUGACGCAUGCAGCUCUAUCGCCUUUCGAAUCCAUCUUGAAGCCCCCAUGCAGUGUUCACCGGAUCUUAUAAUUUGAACUCCUAAUGACCUUUGAUUAUUCAAACUCUGGGAUGAUCUUUCCGAUCAAAAACAGAUCAUUUGUUAAGACAUUUUGAAGCAAACCCCAACUUUACUUAAUCCGCUUCCAAUCGAUAGGCUUCAUCCAUAAACUUCGAAUCUCAACCAAGAAGGAGAAACUCCUCAACUUAUUAUCAUGAGAAGAAAUUAAUUACUCUCCGAUGGAAGAGAUCUAGCACUCGAAGAUCUCAAGAGAAACAAAUCAAAGAUCCGGGAUAAAGGAUUAAAACAUACAUGGGGAGAAGAAAUUCAAGCAAAUCAGCGAGAAGCUCUGAUUGACUUGAAGAAACACAACAAAAGAAAAGAAUCGCCUUGCGAAGAAAAUUUCCGACAGAGCGGAACCGAAAUCGCCUAAGCGAAGAGAAAAUCCGACAAGCGGAAAAUACAAUCGAUCUAGAAGAUCGAAGAUAUUUACAACAAAAAACAAAAAAAGAGAAGAUGGUAACCGAUGGCUAAAGCCACCGGCCACCAACGAUAAGCUUUUUCUGAAACCGCCUUUAGAGAGAUGUUAGAGAGAAAGAAAGAGAGAGGUAAUUCUUCUGACUAUAUGUCUAGUCGGUUUUUGGGCAAGUUUGCUAUCAUCUGUGAUUAUUGGUAUCAUGCAUUAAAGUUUAUAGUUUCAAAGCAAUGUAUUAAAAAAUAUAUAUAUACAUGAAUUAUUUAAGACAAUAAUUAACAAAAUAAUAUAUACCUAUCUUUGUUGUUUACUGCUGCUCUACUCAGGAAAAAUCAGAGAGGGAAAAAUGUUGCUUGACACACUUGACUGGGAACACACACUAUGUCACUAUCUACAUCCGUUAUUG